rnacentral:lncRNA from 1 species
AUGUGACACAACACACGUGAGGUCCAUCCACCCGGGAGCUUGUGAACUCUGGCAGGAAUACAGAGUGACCUGAGCUCCAAAACAUCCCUUUACAGUGUUUUAUAUUGGGAGCUCUUAUUCUUUGCAAACACACCAAUUGAUACAAAUGCUCAGUUUCUUCAACUGAUCCCAUAUGACAUGGAUUCGUGACUCCUUGUCAUGUUGGUUAUCCUUUGUGGAACAUUCUUCAGUUUAUUAAUGUUCUUAAAUCAUGAAUUAAAACAACAUGGCAAUCCAAAUGAAGUCUUACAAAGAUAUCCGAGAAAUGAAGCUAGUUCAUAUGCUGAACUAGAGCUGAAUUGCAAAAUUUUGAAUCAAAACUUUGAAGGGAAUAAAGUGAGGCUAGACCAAACAUAAUGAACUGGAAGAACAGAAAUGGUGGAGUAGCUCAUUAGUCUUUGAGGUAAGUACUACAGGUAUUUUUUUUUUUGGUCAAUAAUAUUUUAUUUUUCCCCAAAUACAUGUAAAAUAAUUUUAAACAUCAAUUUUCUAACUUUUCCUGUCCCUUCUUUGAGAUGGUAAACAAUUUGAUAUAGGUCAUACCUGUGCUAUCAUGCAAAACCUAUGAAGAAAAUAAAGUGAAAAAUGGUUUGCUUCA